CAGGGAGACAACAAAAUGUUUAAUAUUAUUAUUUUGUCACCUUAGGUCGAUCGGUAUCUCACGUUCUUAAUUUAUUAAGAAUUUCAUUUCCUAAGUUUUUCUAGGUCACACCCAUUAUUUUUCCUGGGCCAUUAGCUCAGGUGGUUAGAGCGCACCCCUGAUAAGGGUGAGGUCCCUGGUUCAAGUCCAGGAUGGCCCAUAUCUCUAUGUUGGGGGUAUAGCUCAGUUGGUAGAGCGCCUGCUUUGCAAGCAGGAUGUCAGCGGUUCGAGUCCGCUUACCUCCACUGAUUACCACCUCUUCCAUAAUCGGUAGAAAGGAAAUUUUUUGAGUUGUGAUCAAAUUCUGAACGAAUCUAGCUUCCUAAUGUAAUCAUUAAGAUGCUGGACUCAUUGAAUUAAAUUCAUUGUUUUCAGAGAACCUUGACAACUGCAUAGAUUAUUUUUAAAGACAAUAAGCAUCUUUAAUGAUGCAGAUUUAUUAUUUGUGCAAAUGCAUUAAAUAACAAUUCUAUUAAGCUGAUGCUUCAAUUUUGAAGUUAUU
rnacentral:tRNA from 1 species